UACAGAGGGUGCGAGCGUUAAUCGGAGUUACUGGGCGUAAAGGGCGCGUAGGCGGUUGAGUGAGUGUGAUGUGAAAGCCCCGGGCUUAACCUGGGGAGUGCAUCGCAAACGAUUCAACUAGAGUAUAUGAGAGGGUGGCGGAAUUUCCGGUGUAGCGGUGAAAUGCGUAGAGAUCGGAAGGAACGUCGAUGGCGAAGGCAGCCACCUGGCAUAAUACUGACGCUGAGGCGCGAAAGCGUGGGGAGCGAACAGG
rnacentral:rRNA from 1 species